ensembl:lncRNA
AAUAGAGUAUGGGGAUCACUGCAACAUUGUCAAGCCUUUCUGACACUUCAUCAGAAAACACAAGCAUAGGAAAUUUGUGGUCAUAUUUCUCGGCCUCCCAGGUGCACUCUUUUAUGAACAGAUCAUCGUUAGGGGGUUUUCAGUUACAAUUGAAAAGAUGUCUAAUGUCCUAAAGAACUAUCAGAAGUGACAGAAAUGCAAAAGUGGAAAGAGAAAUGUGACCAGUCACCCAUAAGAGAAAGAAUGAGAUCAAUGAUCUGAUAGUCUGUGCACCAAAAAAUAUACAGCUUCUCCAGAUACAGCAGUUGGUCUGAUGGCUUUCCCUUUAUAAACUCUGUGGUUCUGAAGGCUUCCAGUCCUCCUACAUCCUGUCAUUUUGUCCAAGGCUGAAUUUUCAUGAAGGUGCCCACACAUGAUACUCUUCUGAUACUUUUCCAGAUCAUUUGCACCACUUGGAGAAACAGAGCGGAUUCAAGGACAAGAUGAAGGGAUGUAUGACGCCAGGACAAAGACUGUGACUACUCUGGCACAGCAGUACUAGAGGGAUGCAUUUUGUGGUCUUCGCUCAGGAAUAAUGGCACCUAAGAGCACAUGGGUCCAAUGGACGUCAAAAGCAUUUAGAAAUGAUGCACCCUUGCAGACUAGUUAUUUUUACCUACCAAGUAUCCUGGAAAUAGAAGACGUUUGUCUUUAUAUGAAGAUAUGAAGCAAACUUUGACAGUGAUCCAGGAAGUUGAACAAUUACUUAAGGUGAAGCAUAUCACUGGUGCAGCUAUCAACGGAGCCAUCCACAUUUUUUCAACAACAAGAAAUAUGAAGCCAUUUCCAGUCAGUUCCCUCCUGUCCUGCAUUUGUGGCCCAGUCUUUCCUCUGUUUAAGUCAAUCAGGACGUAUUCAUUGACUUAAACUGGAGCAGAUGAAGUUCUUCAACUUGCACAGGCUAAGAAGCCGGAGAGCUGAAUGUUUUCUACGAGCCAAGAGUCCUGAUCAGUUCCUGAACCUGGUUCACUGAAUGGCCAAAUAAAUGUUUUGACGGGCUGUGUUGAUGGAGCAAUGGGAAGAAGGAUGAGCAGCCCAGCUUUGGGAGGGGAUUGAGUAGCAAGGUGAAAGGGAAAGCCUGAUGAAGCCGUCUUUGUCACUGGAAGAAAUUCUGGUGAAGGAUUCAGUUGCAUCCCAUUUACAGGAUGAAUAGGAUUCAGUUUCAUCCGAAAGGAGCCUGGGUCAUCCAGACCGCAAAGCAGUGAGAACAAAAGCACAGAAAAUGGGAACCAUUGGGAGACUGGCCUCUAAAGCACCUACAACCCUGACUACAUCUGUGAUGGCGACAAGCUCCCAGUGGGUCACAAUAAAUACCCAGUGGCAAUGGAGACAAGUGGGUGGAGUAUAAGAGUGCCUGGAGUUAACAUAAUGAAACUGAAUCCUUUUCUUGAACAAGAAGUGAAAUAAACUUUAAAUCAAAGUCUCCAUUAAGGCCCCUUCUGCAAGAUGCUACUUUCAGUUUCUGAUAAUCAUUAUAAAUGGAGCAGAUUGGAAAAACUCAAAUGGAUCCAAUAUGAAAAGCCUCGCUGCCUCCAGUCACUGCAGGGGGAGAGGAAUGCAGCCCCACUUACCUCCAAACUCAUUUUGGUCUUCCUACACCCCGACAGUAAAAUACAUGUGGAAAACCAGAAAUGCUGUGAGGUGAUGACAAUUACCUGAAGAUAUGAAGAUGAGCAGUGAACAGACCAGAGAAGAGAAGUCAGGUGUGGAUGGCCAGGCCACACCAUACUUCUGUACUCAUUAAGAAAAUAAAUAAACUCUUAGUUGGAUACAUUAAAAAAGAGUUGGUGGUUUCCAGCUGCAACUCACUUUAGUUCUUUAAAAUUAUCCUUGCGUUUCUGUUUAAGAAUUUACCUUGAGGAGGGAUGGGAAUCUGCUGCAUGCUACCAUCUGUCUUUCCUUAGAAAUACAGCACAAUAAAAGUGAGAUUGUCUUGUCUCUUUUAUAAGGUUAGUAAGAAAGCUUUGAUUGCUUCUUCUCUUAUUCACUAGAAAUUUAUAGUAAGAUGUUACAUUUUCCUUUUGUCUGUUUGCCGCAACAUCUGAGCUGUGUGUGAAAGACUGUGCCCUGUGGAUGAGAAGGUGCUUCACAGAGAGCAGCUUCAGUGAGCCAACUUAUUCACCAUGGUUCAAAGAUGGAAACUCCCCUCCAUUCUCAGAAUUUUGGUGCUUUUUGUUAUAUUCUGGGAUACUGUUGUGGUUAUAGCUUACUUCUGCCCCUUCUCCUGAAAUGCCCAAAUUUCUGUGAUGUGAGUUUUGUUCUACUUUUAGGAUGCCAAGUGGAAGAUUAUUCUAUUUCACUUUUGAGUCCUUUCCUGUUAUUACCUCAAACAUCGACAACAAAUUUUUCAGCCUUUCCCUUUUCUGAAGCAGUGGUGACAAAGUUCCUCUUUCUUUCCCCUUCUUCUUUUUCUUUUAAAACACAAAGAAACAAAACAUUCUCCAGAUGUUUUGUGAUCUAAUCCCUUAUUAACUUUGGAAAGAUCCUUUCUACCACAGGGAUCAGAUUCAUUAAUCUAUGGCUUCCUGACUCCUCUCCUACAGUAUUUCCAGGAAUGCAGAUACCUAUUUUGGCAUGGAAUCUGUAUUCCAUGAGCACAAACCUUCAAAUAUAUCUAUUUACCACACCUCUGACUGUAUCCGUUUCUCAAUCGGAUAAUUUAAUUUCCAGUCAAAGCAGCCACACAAAUUAGGCAGCCAUUUAAUCAGUGAUUAACCAAAUAAUCUCCUUUUACCAUAAAUUUGUAGUGUCUGGAGACCUUGUAGACUUCUUGGAAAAGGUGGCCUGUCU